AGAGGUACAGCUCAGGGACAGAGCACAUGCUUUGCAUACAUGAGGUCCUGGGUUUAAUCCCAGGUACCUCCA
rnacentral:tRNA from 1 species